rnacentral:rRNA from 1 species
AUUGAACGCUGGCGGCAGGCCUAACACAUGCAAGUCGAACGAGUGGCGGACGGGUGAGUAAUGUCUGGGAAACUGCCUGAUGGAGGGGGAUAACUACUGGAAACGGUAGCUAAUACCGCAUACCAUCGGAUGUGCCCAGAUGGGAUUAGCUAGGAGGGGGGGUAAAGGCUCACCUAGGCGACGAUCCCUAGCUGGUCUGAGAGGAUGACCAGCCGCACUGGAACUGAGACACGGGCCAGACUCCUACGGGAUGCAGCAGUGGGGAAUAUUGCACAAGGGGCGCAAGCCUGAUGCAGCCAUGCCGGGUGUAGGAAGAAGGCCUUCGGGUUGUAAAGGACUGUCAGCGGGGAGGCGUUACCCGCAGAAGAAGCGCCGGCUAACUCCGUGCCAGCGGCCGCGGUAAUAC